rnacentral:rRNA from 1 species
GCUUUAAAUUUUCUAUUUUAAAACCAAAUUUACUUUUUUACCUUUGUUUAUAUUUGUAUUUAUCUUAAAAAUAUAAAUAAAAAUGCUAGGAAGAGAAAGUAAAUAAGCUCUAAAUUUAAUAAAUAAAAAUAAAAUUUUCAACUCGCAAUCCUCAGGAUUUAUAGGAGAAAAUUAAAUAAAUAAGACCUAAUUUUAUUAAGAACAGUAAAAAAUAGAAUAAAUUAAAGC